AAGUCACCAGUGACCUCCUUACAGUAUUCACCAUGAUUAAAGAGAUCGAAAGCUGUCCUACUGACUCCUGAAGCUGAAUGUCUGCAUAUUGAUAGAGUCACUGUGAAUCCAGGCUAUUCUAAAGCCCCUACAGGAUCCAGAUGGGAAAAUAUGGAAAAGACAUAAACUUUGAAAUACAAAGAUCAGUAUCAACAUGCCGCAUCUUGGCUGUAUAAUCUGAAAGAAGAUAUGACUGAAUGUGAGGAAAAUCCUAUGGACUCCACAGAACAACCACUAAAACUUAGAAUUGAAUUUAAUAAUGUCUCAGGAUAUAGAUCAUAUACAAAAAUCCAUU